GCAAGUCGAACGGUAAGGCUAACUUCGGUUAGUACACGAGUGGCGCACGGGUGAGUAACGCGUAUGCAACCUACCUUUAACUGGAGGAUAGCCCCGAGAAAUUGGGAUUAAUACUCCAUAACAUCAUUUGAAUGCAUAUUUAGAUGAUUAAAGUUCCGGCGGUUAAAGAUGGGCAUGCGUGACAUUAGUUAGUUGGUAAGGUAACGGCUUACCAAGGCAACGAUGUCUAGGGGUUCUGAGAGGAUUUUC
rnacentral:rRNA from 1 species